rfam:Colius striatus contig43837, whole genome shotgun sequence.
UAUUUUUGGUCCAUUAUUAAAGACUCAGAAAACAAGCAUAUUUUCAAAUAGCGUUCUGCACAGUGAUGUAUCUGUGCUUGAUGCCACGGUUCUUUACAUAAUAUGAUAAUAAUGUUAUCUGUUAACGUAAAAACAGAGUUUGACUCCACGGAAGUAGCUGGAAAUGGAUAACUACAAUAUGCUUGAAUCUCUUAGGAACAUACCGUUUGACAUAUAAAGCUAAAAGUUCCUUAUGUUUAGGAAUUCUUUUAAGCGAAAUGCUUGUAGUGAGUCUCAGCUGGUGUGCAUGAAGAAGUAUUCAUCUCCCAGUAGUAAAAUUGAAUUUUAUUUUUUUACAUUUUUUAUAUGUCUUCAAUGGAUUGAAACACUUUGAAGGAAAAAAAUGCAUGCAUUUCUGGUC